UCAAGUGACUAAGUGUAUGUGGUGGAUGCCUUGGCGAUCAUAGGCGAUGAAGGACGUGUAAGCCUGCGAAAAGCUGCGGGGAGUCGGCAAAAAGACUUUGAUCCGCAGAUGUCCGAAUGAGGAAACUCACCGGGUAACCGGUAUCACAAACUCAAUACAUAGGUUUGUGAAGCGAACGCAGUGAACUGAAACAUCUAAGUAACUGCAGGAAAAGAAAUCAACCGAGAUUGCGGCAGUAGCGGCGAGCGAAACCGCAGCAGCCUAGUUUUUGAUAAUGCAUGGUGACAGCAGAACGGUCUGGAAAGGCCGGCCACAGUGGGUGACAGCCCCGUAUGCGAAGUCCGGUGCAUGGUACUAAAAAGACGAUAAGUAGGGCGGGACACGUGACAUCCUGUCCGAAGACGGGGGGACCAUCCUCCAAGGCUAAAUACUCAUGAUCGACCGAUAGCGAACCAGUACUGUGAAGGAAAGGCGAAAAGAACCCCGGGAGGGGAGUGAAAUAGAACCUGAAACCGCAUACAUACAAACAGUAGGAGCCCUACGGGGUGACUGCGUACCUUUUGCAUAAUGGGUCAGCGACUUACGUUUUGCGGCAAGCUUAACCGAGUAGGGGAGGCGCAGCGAAAGCGAGUUCGAACAGAGCGAUAGAGUCGUAAGGCGUAGACCCGAAACCAGAUGAGCUAACCAUGGCCAGGUUGAAGGUGUGGUAACACACACUGGAGGACCGAACCGACCGGUGUUGCAAAACCGGCGGAUGAGCUGUGGUUAGGGGUGAAAGGCUUAACAAAUCUGGAGAUAGCUGGUUCUCCCCGAAAACUAUUGAGGUAGUGCCUCGUGACUGACUCCGGGGGGUAGAGCACUGUUAUGGCUAGGGGGACAUGGCGUCUUACCAAACCAUGGCAAACUCCGAAUACCCGGAAGUUGAAUCACGGGAGACAGAGCACCGGGUGCUAACGUCCGGACUCAAAAGGGAAACAACCCAGACCGCCGUUUAAGGUCCCAAAUACAGGCUAAGUGGAAAACGAAGUGUGAAGGCUAAGACAGUCAGGAAGUUGGCUUAGAAGCAGCCAUCCUUCAAAGAAAGCGUAAUAGCUCACUGAUCGAGUCCUCAUGCGCGGAAGAUGUAACGGGGCUAAGUCUGUAACCGAAAGCGCGGAUUUGUACGCAAGUACAAGUGGUAGGGGAGCGUUCUGUAAGCCUGCGAAGGUGUGUGGUAACGCAUGCCGGAGGUAUCAGAAGUGCGAAUGCUGACAUGAGUAACGAUAAAGCGGGUGAAAAGCCCGCUCGCCGUAAGCCCAAGGUUUCCUGCUCUACGUUCAUCGGAGCAGGGUGAGUCGGCCCCUAAGGCCAGGCUGAGAAGCGUAGCUGAUGGGAAGCAGAUUAAGAUUUCUGCACCGACGUUAAGUGCGAAGGGGGGACGGAGUUUUGAGUAUCAUCCGGGUGUUGGAUGUCCCGGUUUGUGCGUGUAGGAGGCCGGCAGGCAAAUCCGCCGGCAUAUCUCCGAGACAAAGCAUCGAGCUGCAUUUUGCAGUGAAGUGAUGGGAUGAACUUCCAGGAAAAGCCUCUAAGCUAUAGCUUAAUGUCGACCGUACCGUAAACCGACACAGGUGGGCGAGUUGAAUAUACUCAGGCGCUUGAGAGAACUCGGGAGAAGGAACUCGGCAAAUUGACACCGUAACUUCGGGAUAAGGUGUGCCUUUGUAGUGUGAAGAGUGAAACACUCCGAGCAUGAAGAGGUCACAGAGAAUAGGUGGCUGCAACUGUUUACUAAAAACACAGCACUCUGCAAAGACGAAAGUCGACGUAUAGGGUGUGAUGCCUGCCCGGUGCCGGAAGAUUAAGUGAUGGGGUGAGAGCUCCUGAUCGAAGUCCCGGUAAACGGCGGCCGUAACUAUAACGGUCCUAAGGUAGCGAAAUUCCUUGUCGGGUAAGUUCCGACCUGCACGA
rnacentral:rRNA from 1 species